rnacentral:lncRNA from 1 species
CUUAUAUGGGCCUGAUGAGUGUACUACGUUAACUCUCGCUUAAGCAUUUUGGUCCGUGGUUGAAGGACCAAAAUGGAGUUAUUGGCUAGUUAACUCAUCAGACUCGGGUCGUGACAUUUGGUAUCAGAGCUGACCUAGCAUUUGGGCACCACUGAGUUAAACCUCACAUGCACUAUGCUAGGGUUCGAUCUGGGAUAUGUUGGGCCUUGACGAGGACGUCAAGCUAAUUAAGUUGGGGAUAUUAUAACAUCUCAUUAGUCCCACAUCGGAAGUGAGCAAUGUGUAUGAU